GCUCCAGUGGCCUAGUGGUAAGAGUAUCCGACUCGGAUGCGGGAAGUCACGGGUUAGAACCUCGGCUGAGUCA